rnacentral:miRNA from 1 species
CCCGCAGUUGGCUGGAUUUGUC